CAAUGAAUGCAAAAUGACUUGGAAGAGGAGGAGAAGAAUGAAGAAGUUUUGUAUGGCAGAAUGGGCCGCUGUAGCCAGAUCGUUCACAGCUUUGUGGAAGUUACCAGUGGCGCUGAUGUUUAGGCCAAGAGAAGCUUCUGGCUUUGUUGGAGACUCUGGACCGCUCGAUAGACGUGACCCCUCCUGCAGACCAGCUCUCUCGCUUAGGCGACAAGGCCUAUUGUGCCUGGUACUCCAAACUC